AUCAAUUUUUGGCCUUUUGGCUAAGAUUAUGUGUAGUAUCUAUUUUUAUUAGUUUAAUAUUUCAUACAUUCUCUAUAUAAAGGCACUGUUGAGUGAAUGAAAAGAAAAUUACCUGAC
rnacentral:snRNA from 1 species